rnacentral:rRNA from 1 species
UACGUAGGGUGCGAGCGUUAAUCGGAAUUACUGGGCGUAAAGUGUGCGCAGGCGGCUUCGCAAGUCGAGUGUGAAAUCCCCGAGCUUAACUUGGGAAUUGCGCUCGAAACUACGGAGCUGGAGUGUGGCAGAGGAAGGUGGAAUUCCACGUGUAGCGGUGAAAUGCGUAGAGAUGUGGAGGAACACCGAUGGCGAAGGCAGCCCCCUGGGUCGACACUGACGCUCAUGCACGAAAGCGUGGGGAGCAAACAGG